CCAGCACGUAUGCAGAAAGCACAGGGGAAAAGUAGGUGAUACAGUGCUGAUGCUGAGAGCCCAGGGCUUGCUUGUGCCCUUGGUUUUAGCUUGGUGUUGUGCCAUUGACUUGGGUGGAAGAAGCUCUCACAGCCAUGUAUGUCAGCAGUCUGUGCUUCUUUCCUCAUGCCUGCUGGUGCACUCACAUAAAAAGCAUGAUUCCAGAUGCCACUGCUCUUCUCACUAAAUGCUGUAGUCAUUGUGGAGUAAGAGAACCUGGUUCAGACUACCCAGGCUAGAAGGAAAGGUGGUGGUGUCAGCUAAGUGGGCUCAGUGCUGGGAAACUGGGCAGUAUUGCUUCAUGAGGAAACCAGGAGCCAAACAGAGGAGAAUGACAACUGAGGAAUAACCAAAUAGCAGACCUAGCUGGUUAAAGGAAGGGACUCGCAGUUCACACAGCAAUGGGAGGAACAGAGGCUGCCACAUUAAAAGGAGCAUUCUUCCUUGACUCUGGGCUUUUAAGUGUAGUACAGGACAGAAGUGUCUAAGGAUGAAGAGACCAUCUGCUACCAGGAGAAAAUGGCAGAUAUUCAGAAUAUCAGCAUUGCAAAAGCCCCUCAAGAAUUCUCUUCAAAGAAAUCUGGUCAGUGAUUUAACACAAUAUAAAAUGUUAUGUAAAAGCACUAAGAAAUAUUCUCAUAAAAGCCAUUUGGGAACAAAAAAAGAGACAACAACAAAUGUUUCAGCCAACAUUUCCAAAGAAGGAUCUAUCAUUUUUAUUAUUAUUAUUUUUAGACUCAAUCUUUUGCCUCGUUCAAGCAGAUGAAGAAUUGGCUUUUCAUAUGCAUCUUAUGCCAGAACCCAAGCUGGGAACAAGGUGCUUGUCUGCUCUUCAGCAUUUGAUAUGCUGUAGUUGAGGAUUCUGAGGGGAGGAAACAAGGCUCAAAGCAACAUUAUAACCCUGGUCUUCAGGAGAGCAAGCUUUGGACUUUGAUCUGAUUGGAAGAAUCCUACAGGAGACGGCCCUGGAGAGAAGAGUGGUUCAGGAGAUCUGAUUGAUUUUCAGAGAUUAUCUGUUCCCAGCACCAGAAUGGUCCAUCCCAAUGAGCAGGAUAUCAAGCAAAGGUAGCAGGAGAUGGGCAUGGAUGAACAAGGAGCUCCUUACCAAAUUAAAAUGCAAAAAGGAAGUAUGCAAAAAGUGGGAGCAGGUGCAGGUGAUUCAGGAGGAAUACAGAGACACUGAGUGCAUGACUGGGGAAAGAAAAGUUAGCCCAUAUGGAGUUGAGUAUUCAAGGGGCAGUAAAGGUUAACAAGAACAGCUUCCCUGGGUACAUUAAUAGGAAAAGGAAAACCAGGGAAAAUAUGGGCUUGGUGCUGUAUGGGGCAGAAGGGCAGGAGAUUUGGUGGCAAAGGGCUAAGAAAAGGUCAAUGCCUUUUUCCCACUGGAUUUUACUGUAAGACUGGAGUUCAGCAAUCCAAGGGCCCUGAGACCAGAGGGAAAGCCCAGAGCAAGGGAGAUGUUCUCUCAGUGCCAGAGGAUGGGGUUAGGGAGCAUUUAAACAAACUGGACACACUUGAUCCCAUGGGAGCUGGCAGGGUGCUCUCACAGGCACUGAGGGAGCUGGCUGACAAAUUGUGAGACUGCUCCUGAUAACCUUUAAAAGGCCCUAACUUUUGGGAGAGGUACCUUAGGAGUGGAAGAAAAAAUAAAAUUCACUCCCUGUCUUCAGGAAGGAGGAUCUGGGGAACUGCAGGCCAGUCAGCCUCACUUGGAUCCCCAGGAAGAUUAUGGGAAAACUCAUCCAGGAGAUAGUUUCCAAACAUAUGAAGAACAAGUAGGUGACUAGGAGUCAUCAUGGACUUCAGAAGGGCAAAAGUGUGCUCAAUCAAUCUGAUAGCCUUCUACAACAAUAUCAGUGUGUUAGGUUAUGUGAUACGGGGUACAAGGGAGGGAGUUAGAUGAUUUUAGUGGGAACAAAAGUGGGAAAAUAGCAGGGCAAAGGUAUAAAAAGAGGUGGUUGUCCAUAAGCUGUUGACUGGUCAGUUAUAUGGCUGUGGCCUGCAGCUGUAUUCUGUCCUGAAAAAGACGAGACUGUUUCAUGCAGAGAAAAGAAGGCUCAAGAUGGGCCUUGUGUGUAAAAAUAUCUGAAAGAAAGAUGUAAAGUGACAGGCUCUUUUCAGUGGUGCCCAGUGACAGGACAAGAGAGAACGGGCACACACUGAAAUACAGGUUUAAGCCUUCACUCCAAAAGUGGGAUAUGUGUCCGGGAGGUUGUGAAAUCUCCCUCCUUCAAAACCCAACUAAAAAUGGCUCUCAAAAACUGCUCAGAGCUGUCCCUACUUUGAGAAGGGAGGUUGGACUGGAUGAUCUCCAUAAGUCCCUGUCAUCAGUUUUGUAGUUUGGUGGUGUCAGUGUAGCUGAGGUGCAGCACAGCUGGGAACACAAGACAUCCUCUCCUGGACUGCCACCUUCAACAGCUCCACAGCUGCCAAAGGAAUUGGUGAGCACAUCACUUGCCUCUGAAGGAGGGAGCAGAAGAGGCGCCAAGGAAGAGCUGCAGUCUGUCCCUCAUAAAUGGCAGUGGGGAAGCCUCAGCUCUGCUCCCAAGGCUGGUGUUGACAUUGAGCUGCUGGUGUUGCCCUGCAAGAGCUGCUGACACCUUCCUGCUGCUGCACAUCUCUGCCCCUCACCCUGCCCCAGUGAGGCACAGCCCCUCUUGGCAUGCGCCUGCUGCGAAGCCUCUUCAUGGAAUCACAGAAUCUCUGGGCUGGAGGGGACCUUAAACACAUCCAGUUCAAACCCCCUGCCUUGGCUAGGGACACCAUCCACUGGAUAAGGUUGCUCAGAGCCCCAUUCAGCCCACCCUUGGAUGGGCUAGGGUGUCCAGGGAUGCUGCUACAGAAACACCUGAGCACCUUCCCCACGUUGCAGGAGGUGAUGGAGCUGGGAGCAUGUCCCAGACCACUGCCAGCAUGGCACCUGCCCUUGCCUGGCCACACUGCUUGAUCCAGAGGGGGAGGUCACUUGUGAGGGUCGAGAUGCCCUUCACAUCCCCUUCUCUGCCACAAGCCAGGCUCCUCUCAAGAGGCAUCCCACUUUAGCAUAGGGUAAACAUUAUUUAAUCUAGUAAAAUUUCUUUGGAUUGCUCUAGACUCUUUAAAAAAAAAUAAAAAAGAAAAAAGAAAGGCUGCCUGCUAAUUUCGGGCACUUGUUACUGAGACAGUUAACUCCAAGGCAAAUUUUAUUGGCCUUCUGUAAUGCAAGUUAAAUAUAGGGGCAGCAGGAAUUUCCCUCCAGGCCAGAGAGGUCUCACACAGAAUAUUUGAACUUUGCAGGCAUGCACACCCCAUAAGGCAAUGCAGAGUAUUUCACCCAAGUAGCAACACACUCUCCAGUAUUGCAGCAGCCCUGUGUGUGAGUGAGGGUGGCUGAUUCCCUUUGUCUACUGUGACAAAGUCUGUGUACCAUCAUCCUUACUCCUACCUGAUCAUUCCUCUUCUUUGAUCCUUUCUAGCACCGUGAAUGAAUUUUUAAUUCAUACUUACUCCUUUGUGUGUAAUUACUUCAAUAAUUUCAUUCUGGGCUACUCCACAUUUCCACCAGCACACCACAGAGAAUUAUCAGUUUAUUUACUUAUUUUGUAAAGUUCUGGAAUUUACUCUUUUAUCCAUUAGAAGUCCAUGGGAGAUGUUUAUUUUGCCUAGCAUUCAGUAUAAAGUUAAUUUGAAACAAAAUAAUAGAAAAGGGGGGAGGGAAUAAAAGAGAAUGGGUAGCUGCAUUUAUUUCUCCUUGAUUAAAACAACUAAUUGGCCUGUCCUGGAAGAGCUCCUCUUUGGACAAAAUAAAGACCUCCACACCUUGUGCAUACACCUGAAAGUCCCCAGAGAAAUGUUACUGUUCCAGUGUAAACCACUACUGACACAAAACCUUGCUGGGAGCAUAUUUUCACUUGCCUUGGCCGUCCUGAUGCAAGCUGGGUGUCACAGCAGAGAGGUCCAGGUCUAAUGCAAGUGCUUGCUAAUGAACUCAGUUAUCUCAAACCACUGAAGAAGGCAGUCUGAACUAGCCCAUGUGCAGUGGAGCAGCUCAAGGAGUGUCCACACAACCCCUUCUGCUGGCAGAGAAGGAGCUGUGAACUUCAGGUGGGACUCGGACACACACAGUCACUGCUGAAAAAGUAUGUAAGAAGAAGACAUCUAUCCACAGCCUGGAAAUCCAUCUGACUUCAACAUGGUCCAUUUGAGGUAAUGGUAGCACAUGGACCAGAUUUUAAAUAUUAAAAGAUUCCAACACAAACUAAAUUAAAACCUAAUUACACAACCUUGCAAUGAAGAGGGAAGAAUAAACAUAAUAACUGAACUCUAUUAAGGGAUUUGCAUUUGUACGGGAACAUUUGCAAAACUAAGUGUUUUAAAAAUUGUUUCAGAUAAUUUGGCCAGGAAUAAUUAUCACAUAAAAUCAGACUGUAAACACAGAGAAAACCAAAUUAAGCUAAGACAUGAGGUAAAGUAAGAUAUUAAUGAGAAUCAUUGUUUCAUAUUUUGUACACUUUUUUUCAACAGCCCUGAAAUGUCUUACUGCAGGAUAAUUAGAAUAUAAUCUUGUUCCAGGAAAUCCAGCACUUGCAAGCCCAGCCCUGUGUGUGUUUGCAUUUAAGUCUGUCUGUACACUGCUUGGAAUAACCUGACUGAUGUGCCAGAUACUCACUAGUAUCUACUAGAGAGCAGGGAGAAGGCAAGCAGCACUAAUUUUUCAGUUGAUUUUUAACUUAGGAAAGAGUACAGGUGCCACUAAAGACCAUAAAAAAUAGAGAGGAUCUUGGAAAAGUUAUCCUUGUGGAACAGAAAGAUCAAAGGGAGAAUCAAUUUGGGGAAAACAGUCUAAAAGUGAGCACAACAGGUAGUGGUAGAAUUACAAAGCAGUAAUGCAAAUUAAAAAAAAAAAAAAAAAGAAGGCAUGUGGAAGGAUGUUGGAAGUGCAGAACAAUUCUUUCCAGAUUUAUAAUGAUUUGUAGACAAGCAGACUAGGAAGUCCUUGAAUAUAUUUUAAAGUAGCCUGGAUGGAAAUUGGAAUGCAGGCCAUAUUAUCUGGAGCUUGAAACUUUUGCCUAAAAGUACUUGCAAUCCCUUUAUUGCAGCUGUGUCUUUCUUUAACUUCCUAAUCUUUUGCUUGCUUUGUGACAUUAGAUAGAUUUUUAGAGUUAAGGUCUAUUCCAAGCCUUAGAGGUUCUAAAAUCAUAAGCCAGAUGUUUGGAAAUGGAGAGGGGAACUUAAGAAACAGGGAAUUAACAUAGUGACAUAUAGGUUGUGUGUAUAUAUAUAUAUAUAUAUAUAUAUAUAUAUAUAUAUACACAUGUGUAUGUUUUGCAAUUUCUUUUGCUCAUUCACUCCAUCAGGGUCCUGAGAACACUUAACAGUUCUCAAUAAACCUGGCCAGCCCCAUCUGGGACCUCCACCCAACCACCUUAAAAGGGAGCAGAGCCCCUUUUUAGUUCAGCUGGGGUCUGUCAGCCUCUGCUUGAUCUGUUGGGGGGUAUUUUGGUCUCCAGCUCAGCCUGUCUAGGGCUUGCUAUGGAGACCUUUUCUCUGGAACUCAUUGUCUGGACUGGUUUCCCAGCCCAAACUGGGCACUGUCUCAUCAUCAUGGCCCUACCAUCACUGGACCUGACUUAUGAACUGGCUUCCUGGUUCUGCCUUCCUGGUUUGAUCUUGGAUCUGCCCUGUCAGCAUGCUUUUCCCUUGUGGUCUGGACUCUCGGUUGCUAUCUCUGAGCUCAUCCUGCUUGGCUCACUUGAGGCUGAGGGGCAGGCUCUGGAGUCAGCUCAGUUCCUGGCUUCCAUCCCUUGGAGAAAAGACCUGGAUUUGCUGCUCUCUCUUCUGCUUCCGUCAAGUGUGUGUGUGUGAGUGCACAGAGGUGAGGUACUGUGCUGUCACGGUGACAGAAGGUGGUGGCUCCUACCCACUCUACAGAAAUGCUGUAACUGAAGCCAUCUUUUUGCCUAAGGAGGCAGGAGAUGUUGUUAACUGUCUACUCUUCCCCUGGAAGCAGGAAAGCAGCAGACUAUACAGCAGAAGGCAGAGAUACGGAAUAGAAGUCUCUGGCAGCAUUGCUAUAUUAUCUGCACCACAGGAGGAAAAUCUAGAUAAUGGUUUUAUUUUCAGAUGUGAAGAUCUGUGGUUCAGAUUUAGCUGGAGGACUUUGCCCACAAAUACAGAUAAUCCUCUAUUCAGUGUUUCACUUCACUGCAAAGCCUUGCUUGUCUAGGUAAAAAAUGUGCACUGGCAUGCCUCUUGUGUUUCCGGAGCUCAGUGUUCAGGUCAGACUCGGUAAUUCUUAUCUCUCAGACUGAUCCACUUGUGUUUUACAGGGCAAGGGGACUGGGAUUCUGCAGUAAGCUUCCAGAAUCACCUUUUGAUCACUUUUUGCCACUGCAUCCAACCAACUCCACAAAAUCAAGGAAUGUUUUUGGCCUCAGUAGUAACAGAGCUGGGCAGCAGGUCCCAAACUUGAAAACAAGAAGCCACUAUUUGUAUUUCCAUGUCUUCUCUGUGCUUCCACUGGGAGAUGCUUAACAGGUAUCCACCAAAUGGUCAGCCCAGAGGAUGAUAGAGAAAUGAGUGAAGGAAGUGUCAAUCCUUCCUUUCCUAACCUGUAGCUUCUCAAGAUACAUCCAGAUUGGAAAAAAAAAGAUGGGAAACAGUGUCUUCUCACACAGUCUGGGUAGGAAAAAGGGGCUUUGAAACUGGGAGAGAAGUAAUGUGGAGAGCAACUGGAUACAGAGACAAAACACAGUGGGAAGACAGGCCCUGGGAAUGGGAGCAGGCAAUGAAGAAGUAGUUAAAAAGAGUGUGUAAGUGGAAAAGGUAUAUUAAAAAUAAAGUUUAUAUGCAGCCUGUGAGGCAAAAGGGGGAGAUACAAAGGUAGGUACCAUGACUUUGGCCUCCAUAAACCAGACUGAAUUAUCCUGUUUACUUUAUCCUGCAGUCCAUAGCAGUGAAGUGUUUCUGCAUCUCUUGGUUUGUGUGAAUAAUAUGUUCUUGGCAUCAGCUUUGGUUUUAAUGUGAUUGGUUUUUAAACAUAAUUAGAAGUGUUUUUACAGCUUUGUGUACUUCUGUUUAAGAGACAACAAAAAGAAAUGCACAGAUAUGUUUUUUUACCAGAGAAAGAGCUCUAAAACAUUACACCAGAAUGGCACUACUGUCUUGAUAAUAAGAACAUGCAUGGUGGACCAUUGCAGAAUUGGCUUUGAACGUUUGCCAGCAAAGCCUCUGACUCAACAGAAAGCACAGCCUGUGGUUUGUUAGCCCAUUGACCUUGGUGCCUUGUUGUGCAAGCUGUUUACAGGAUCAGAUACCCCAAAGUGGAGCCUUAGAUGGGGGAGGAGGUGUUCAGUAAUGUUUCAAUGAUGAACUUUCUUGAUAUAGUAAAAUUCACUUUCCUUUUUCAUUUGAGUUCACUGUGGAGGCUACAGUAAGAUCAUCAGGGACUCCAGGAAUGCAUGGUCCCACUAAGCCAAGGGGAUAAUACACAUGCUCAAAUGAUGCCUGUAAAACUUGAUACAAGAACCCCUUAAGCACAUGCUCUGGUUUUCUGAGAGUGCAUUAGGGGGACUUAACAGACACACAAAUUCUUUCCUGAAGAUAGGCACAGGAAAAAUUACUCCACAAAGGAAAUGCCUCUCCAUAGAGGGACUCACAGCUGUGCUAUGUACUCUUGCCCCUCACUGCACUCUGGUGCCUGAAGCCUUUGGGGAGCUGAGCUGCUCUUCACAGGCUUGUCUCCUAUCUGCAUCCAGCAUCUGCCUCAUGUGGCUUGGUAUUCUUUAUCUCAACUGGCCUGGCCUCCAUGCUGGAUUUCUUCUGGACAAGCAGACAAACCCAGUAUUUUUAAGAAGUGAGUGCACACCGUUUUUGGGGUUUAUGGGUUGACUGGCUGCUCCUCCUGUAGCAUUUCUAUGGCAAUAAUAUAAUCUAAGUAUUUUGAAGGAACUUUGACAAUUUAAGCCAGUGGAGGAUUCAGUGUCUUAACAUCUGCUUUUUCUUGUGUUUCCAUGAGCUUAUCUGCAAGCUUAACAGUGCAUCAGUGUCAGAUUCUACUUUCCACAAAUGUGCACACAUUUAAUUCACCAGAAUAUUUGUUCCACCGUUUGGUCAAAAUAAUAUAUAAACCACUUUUUUGUGACUUAAAAAGGGCCUUAACACUUGCUGUAAAGAUAGGGCCUGGGAAUGAUUCACCUCUGAAGGAAAUAGUGGGCUGUUUCGUUGCACCACUUCUUAAGCCAACAGACAAACAGCUUUGAGACCUGCUGCUGCAUCCUAGAACAUGUUUUGAUGUUGCCUUUCAAGUGCUUAAACAGAAGAUAGAGUCAGUUGUGAAAUGUUUUACUCCUUUUUGAUGAAAAGGAGCUUCAAUUGGAACGUGGUGAAGCCAUGGCACAACUUUCUAGAAGGGGUGCAAUAUGCAGCUGGAGCUGAAGAAGCCGGUGUGGAGGCUGCCAAGCCAGACUGGAGCAAUAUCUUGGGUCAGAGGCAAACAGAACUGGAUGUUGCAGCCAUCAGCUGCCAUCAGCUAAUCCAUGAAAAACCAAACCUCAAUUAUUUCUCUCCUUGCUGCAGUGAGAAGCCAGCCUUGACCAUGUUUCUUAUUCAUAUCACUGAAGUUCUCCUUCAUCUGUCUUUCCUCUGUCUUGUACGCUACGUGGGCAAUUGUUUAUCCGUGUGUGAAAAUGGGUAAAGGAUGCAGUCAUACUGCUGUGAUAGGAUUUUUGGAAAAUGAGAUCCAUGGCUUUUACAGUGUUGGCCUUGUGAAAUUUUGGACAGCUGCAAGACUGCAAGUGCUGUGUUUUCAACUUGCAUUUGUUUCCUGCAGUGUGUUUUUAAAAUUUUCUACACUCCCUUAGCAUUGGAGCUUGACCUUCUUAGCCUUAGACUAAAAAGAUUUAUAAAAUCACUGGCCACAACUAGAGAAAAUUAUUUUUCAGGAGACCCCUAUAAACAGGGAAAUUACACAGAACCACAAUAAUUCAAAGCAAAACCAUAUGUUUAAUUAUUGUUAUAGCCAUUUGAAUUUAAGGAUGACUGAACAUCUUUAAAUGAUAGAGCAUGGCUUACAAAAGGUGAGCUGCAUGGUUUGUAAUGCACCUCUGCAAAUAUUCUGUGUACUAUUUGAAUGCCACUUCACAGUUCUGAGGAAUAAAGGCUAAAGAAACUUGAAGCUUUGUUGUUGAUCUGUACCUAGUGAUCUGCAAUAUGCUUACAAAGUAAACAUUCCAGUCAUCAAAUAAAUUUUAAUAUAUUUGAGAAUUUUCAAUAGAAUGGGAAUUAUUUUCUCCUUUGUGGAUUUCUUCUAUUCAUAUCUGUACUGGGAAGGAAGCAAGGGAAAACAUUUCCACAGAAAACAACUUUGUUUUGCUUAUUUCCUUUUAACCCUGCAACCUUUGAGCUGCUAAGCUAACUUAACAUGCUCAAAAAGUGAUAUUUAAAAGAACUGUCCCACACAUGUCUGUGGCAAACAAUAGUAGAGGGCCACCGAAUGGCAAAAAUACUUCAGGAAGAAAGCAUGGGUUGGAAUGCUUUUUAAUAAUUUAGAUAUGUUAAAAUGUUUGUGGUCAACCCUAAAGAAAAAGCAUACCACUGAAGGCAUCUUGGCAAGGUGCACUUGUGUUAAGUGCCUCAUGUGUCUUCUGUUUCUUUAACUGAUAAAAUAAAAGGCUUAGGAAAAAAUGCUGGCAAGCAACACCAUAUUUAAAUGAACAGUUCAGAACCUAGAGCUACUGAGAAAGAAAGAUCAGAGUGAACUGGUGGGGUGAGGUAAAAAGGAGAUGCAGUGGAAAAUAUGAGCAACUUCAUGAAAAAGUUCAGAAACCUGUCUAACUCAGAAGUAAAAAUACCAGAGUGGAAGGGAGUAAAACGGCUGUGAAAGUGCAGAUCCCGCUGACCUAUAGAGAAGCAGCUCUUUGUGAAAAGACAGAAGCAAUUUUCAGUGGAAAGCCAAAAGCUGUGGGACUUGCUUUUCAUGGGUACAUCUACACUAACUUCAGAGCACCGGCCCAAGCUCAAACUUGCCUCGUGUUUGGACACAAGACUCUGCUCAGGGCCUUGGGUGAGCUCCAUCUCUGGGAGGAGGUGGGGAGUCUGUGCUGGCUCAGCCCUUUAAUAUAACCCAAAUGGUAUCAUAACCAUGCACUUCAGAUGAGCCUUUGCCUUCUCCCAGAUCCUCCAUUCCAGAUCUCAUAAUUCUGUGUGGCUAUUAUCUCCCUCCUAGAAAUGUUUAAUGUCACAUCCCACAAAACCCUGCUGGAUGUGUGGUGUGCUGAGUACAGGGCAUUCACAGCAUGCCAGUGGUCCAGCCUGCUCCUUAUCCUGCUAAGGGCAGGUCAGCAGCAGGGCCACACCAUCUGCCCACCACUGGGGCUUCCUCUUGGACAAAAAGCCAAUAGCAGUUCAACCAGUACGAUUUUAAUUUUUUGUUUUCCUCCUUAGACUUUGGCAUGCUGUCAUAAAUGGUUUGGCCAGACAUGGAGUGGGGCCAGCCUGGGAAGUGCUGAGGGUGACUCCCUGUCUCUUGGCCUCACCAGGUGUCUCUGCAGGGAGGAUGCUGCACGAGGUGUGGGCUUGGCGCUGGUCUCACCAGGGCUUGCAGUACCGAAGGACACCUCACAGGCACUCUAUCGGAAGGCAUUCUUCUCAUUGGCUGCUCUGCUCUGUGCCUGGUCUCUUGUCUGAUCUCUGUCCUGUGACCAGCCACAUGAGGCCUCAUGUGCUGGGAGGAAAGAAGGCUGAUGUCAGGCUGUGGUGGUGGUGGUGGUAAAAAUAGGGUUAAAGUAGGAUUUCUUCCCCUACCUCCAUGAGCUGUCCUGUGAUUACCCUUGGGGAAGCACCCCAGCAGCUGCGACUCUUCCAAAGAGGGAGAAGGACAAAAAAUCACCAAAAGAGAUUUUAGCAUGGCCUCUUAAACACAGGUAUUCUUGUCUGAGAUGCUCUGAUAUCAUUAAGAUGAACAUGAUAUAAAUAAGUAGAUAUGGUAUCGGUGAUGUUGAAGUUCAUUGAAAUGUUUGGUUAGUAAUACCUGGAAAAAAGGUGAAGCUCUGUCAGCGAACUGUGCCCUAUAUCACGUGAUUAACCUGAAGCUGGACAGAUUUGUACCUUUUCCUGGCCACAGGACUACCAGGUACCAGGUACCAGAACACAGAGAUGCAGUGUAUACGCAUAAAUAAAAAGGAAGGUUUUGCCAAAAUUCUUCGAUGGAACAGUUUACAUUAUUUAAUGCCAGUUUCUCCAAAUCAGAAAGAACUGAGCCCACUUAUGGGACAAUGAAAAGCAACGCAGCUUCAGGACAUCCUGAGAAGGGUGGAGAUGAAGGAUAUUGCCAUGCAAAAUGUCCCAAUGAAGACCAGCUUCUUGUUUGGAGCUGCAGGCUGUGAGGAGUGGUGCAUGACCAGGUCCCUGUGCUGUUGCCUUUGCCUACCUCCAGGAAAGCGUCUGGCUGCUGCUGACAAGGGAGAGCUGUGAGUAUCUGGGGUGACAGCUACUGCUACAGAAAAGGGGAAAAUGACCUCCCCUCACAUCAGCGGUUGCUGCCCUAUCUCUCCAGCCCCGCUGCAGGAGUGGCAAGCCCUAGAAAAGCUCUAAGCACACGCUGGUACCAGGUUUGAGAAGAUUACUCUGUGCCUCCUACUAGCAAUCAUCCACAGUAUUUUUCCCAAAGUACUUUACUGAGUGGGUAAGCACUUCCUUUUUACUGAUGGAAAAACAGACAGAAAAAGAUGAAGUGGUCUGCCCGGGAUAAACAGCUUGGUAUGCUGCCUUUUCAAAGCCCUCAGGAUUGCAAUUUUACCUGGCCAGGGGGCAGCCUGCUGGAAUGACAUUGAACUGGGCUCACGGCAGCCCUUUGGCCCUCAGCUGUGCUCACUGGAGGGGAACGGGCUGAGGAGAGUCCCCUGCUCACAGCUGCCUCUUUGGUCACUUUUCAGAUGGCUGUGGAAAUAACCCCAAGGGACCAGACUUAUGCAUCUUGGUUUUGUCCUCUGACCCAAACUGACUUUGGGAUGACUGGUUUUAUGUUCAAGGGUGGAUCAGCUGCCGCUAUAGGAUACACAUCCCUGAGGACCUCUCUCCUCUUUGACACCUCAUUGAGUCUUUCUUGUUAAGACAGUUGAGCUUGUCUGCAGAGGAAGAGCACUUAUUAUAUUCCUGUGCACAUAGGUGUGGUGAGAGGGCUGGAUUUUUACUGAUGGCCGGCAGGCAGUUUGACUGCUACUAGCAGAAGAAACUUUUCCUGCUGGCUGCAGGGUGUUUGCUAUGGUCUCAUUUCAACUUGCAGGCUGGAGCAUCUUUUUUGAACUUACUUGGGUCCUUGUGAAAAGAUGAGUGACCUAGAACCGCCUUUGGCACCAGCAGCAGCUGUGAUGGCUCCUUCUUCCUAAGGCAUCUCAUUGUGAGGAAGGGCCAGUAUCUGACACUUCCUCCCUGAUGACUCCGGUGAUCACGAUCUGAGGCUUUCAAAGAAGGAUCUAGGUGCUAUGUGUCCCAGAGGCCUGUAGGACAGACUUUAAGGGACAGCUGAGCAGCACAAGUUCAGACCUAGCUUCAGAAGUCACAUGGUCCUGGGUUGGGGAUUGGUCAGACUUGGUACACUAAUUUAAGCUUAUGGCACCUGUAGGAUGGUAUUCAUGCUGAUGUGUUUCGGAUAACAGCAACUCAUGUUCUUUAGCAAGUCAGAGUCACAAGCCUAAAAGCCAGACAAAGGAAGAACAAGGCGGGGGGGGGGGGGGGACAGACAAGGGAGAAGACAAGCACUGUCUCUAACAAUAAAGAAUCAUCACUUGCUUGUCCAAUAGGAGCAGCAGAACACAUUUCUCCUGAAGAUACUCUUUGAGGGUCUGAUUUUUCAUGAAUCUCCAGUUCAGGAGUGAAUACUAUCUCUUGCCUUAACCACCAGUUGCAAACUAGCCAGGGAUUUCACUUACAUUUGCCUCCCGUGUUGCCUCUGGGCAGGACAUAGGACAGGUUACCCACAGCAGAGAACCUGCCACCACUGUAAGCUGGAAGUGUUCUCAAGGUAUAAUUUAAGUGAACUCAAGAGGAAAAAUAGCCCAGAGACAGCGCCUGUGGCCAAAAGCUCAGGCAGAAGUGGUGUCAUGUCAGUCCAGAGCUAUGCAGCGAGCUACUCUGCAUCUUCCUGCCUUCCCCUGUGAAAUGGGGAUUAAAAUACUCAUCUGUUUUACAAACAUGAUUAAAUGUGGGUUGAAAGAACUUCCUGUAAAAAACUUGAAAACUCUUGAGAAUGGUGGUCCUGUUUGCUUAAGGCAGGAUCUGGU